UACGUAGGGUGCAAGCGUUGUCCGGAAUUAUUGGGCGUAAAGCGCACGUAGGCGGCUUUGUAAGUUAGAGGUGAAAGCCCGGAGCUCAACUCCGGAAUUGCCUUUAAGACUGCAUCGCUUGAAUCAUGGAGAGGUGAGUGGAAUUCCGAGUGUAGAGGUGAAAUUCGUAGAUAUUCGGAAGAACACCAGUGGCGAAGGCGACUCACUGGACAUGUAUUGACGCUGAGGUGCGAAAGCGUGGGGAGCAAACAGG
rnacentral:rRNA from 1 species